GACGUAGGAUGCGAGCGUUUGUUUCGGAUUUAUUGGGCGUAAAGCGAGCGUAGGUGGCUAGUUAAGUCUGGUGUUAAAGCUAGAGGCUCAACUCUGUGAUGCACUGGAAACUGGCUGGCUUAGUAUGGUAGGGGAAGGUGGAAAUUCCGAGUGUAGCGGUGAAAUGCGUAGAUAUUCGGAGGAACACCGGUGCGAAAGCGACCCUUCUGGG
rnacentral:rRNA from 1 species